rnacentral:rRNA from 1 species
GAUGAACGCUGACAGAAUGCUUAACACAUGCAAGUCUUUGGUGAAGCUGUGCUUGCACAGCCUAGCCAAGGCGGACGGGUGAGUAACGCGUAAGGAACUUGCCCUGCAGUCAGGGAUAACAGACGGAAACGACUGAUAAGACCUGGUAAAGUCAGGCGGACUCAUGUCCAGCCUGAUGAAAAGAGAUGCUGCAGGAGAGCCUUGCGUCCUAUUAGCUUGUUGGUGGGGUAACGGCCCACCAAGGCAAUGAUAGGUAGCCGGCCUGAGAGGGUGGACGGCCACAAGGGGACUGAGAUACGGCCAUUACUCUUACGGGAGGCAGAAGUGGGGAAUAUUGGACAAUGGGGGCAACCCUGAUCCAGCAAUUCUGUGUGAACGAUGAAGGUUUUCGGAUUGUAAAGUGAUUUCAGGAGGGAAGAAAAAAAUGACGGUACCUGCAGAAGAAGCGACGGCUAAAUACGUG